rnacentral:misc_RNA from 1 species
AAGUCGUAACAAGGUUUCCGUAGGUGAACCUGCGGAAGGAUCAUUACCAAAUCCAAAACUUUAUCAACACCAAACAAGUGAACUGAGAAUGGUUUCGUUCCCCUCUGCAUGUGCAUACAAUGUGUUUCCACAUUCGUGCGUGUGCGAAGGGGGAUGUUUUUUUUCAACCCCUUUUCAACCUCUUACAAUCUUUUAUGCUGAAAGCAAAAAAACGAAACAUGAGACAACUUUUAACGGUGGAUCUCUUGGCUCGU